AUACCUUUCUCGGCCUUUGGCUAAGAUCAAGUGUAGUAUCUGUUCUUAUCAGUUUAUAUCUGAUACUAGUAUUCAUCCCCU
rnacentral:snRNA from 1 species